GUCUUCAUUUUUUGUCACUUGUUCUUUUGUCGGAACUCAGAAUUCAGAAUCCUCGUCCCCUCAAAUUCUCCACAUAGUAUUCCAGGGUUUAAGACUUCACCUUUCCCAUCCCCCAAUUUCUAAUUCCCUCCCCCACGCCCCCGCCCAGAAAAAAAGGAGAAAAAAAAAACACACACACACACACACAGAGGGGAGGAACACAGGGACAUGUCUGAAAUAAUGAAAACAUAUCCUACCAAUGAGUAUUUGCAUGAAAGGAAGCUCUUUUUCGGCCCAACAUUAGAGACUAGAAUGAUUUUUUCGGUUCCAAAUGAAAUAAUUCAAUCAAAGAUGAAUAGAAUAAGAUUAAUUGGCGGCGGAGGAAAUAAGGUGAAGGGCAAGGCGGCUUUAUUAGCUAAUUAUAGUGAUGAAGGGUCUGUUCAAGGUGCCCUUGACAAUUCCCCGAUUUCGAUAGAGCUAGAGCCAAUUUUGAGCGAAUCCCAGUUCGAUCGGGUCAUUGCUGAAGCUCAACAGCUUGAAGAACCAAUUUUAAUUGUAUGGAUGGCAAGGUGGUGCAGAAAAUGCAUAUAUUUAAAACCGAAGUUGGAAAAGUUAGCUGCUGAGUAUAAUCCGAGAGUACGCUUUUUCCAUGUUGAUGUUAAUAAUGUUUCACACAAGCUCGUGGUUCGAGCAGGAGUUACUUUAAAGUUCAGACAAACGAUUCGAAUGAAAUCUAACUGGACUUAAUCUGCCUUUCAUGUAUCUGAAAUGCGGCUUCCAAACAAGAGCAGAAAAUGCCUACCAUACAGCAGCUAUGGAAGGAUGGCCAGAAAGAAGGCGAGGUGAUUGGAGGGCACAAAGCACAUUUGGUGGUUAAUGAGAUACGUGAAAUGAUUGAAAAUGAAUACACCUUGUAAUUCAAUCCAGUCCCUGAGGGUAUGCAUUUAAACUUCAUUCAACAUUAGCCAAUCGCACAGGAAAAAGCUGCAUUCAGGUGUUUUGCUUGCCCAAUUAUAGGGAGAUCAUUGGCUUACUUUUUCCAAUGCGUCAUAGGAAGAUAAUUAAUAUACUUGUCCCCUUGUUUUUCCUAUUUGUCUUCUCCCCUCGCAAAACCUCCCUCUUUUGGGGGUAGAAGGAGGGGAGGGGGCAGGGGAGUUUGCCACUUUUCGUUCUGGUUCUGUAGCUGGCUACAUACUUACCCAUCUUAAGAAUAAUAUAGUGCCACCUUUCAGGGAAAAAAAAAAAGGAAAUAAAUAGUGCCACUCCUGUACUUACCAAGAUUAGCUGAGGAUGCACUGCAUAUAUCGGUGGCCAGGAUGUCCCAUCUUCACUGGUUUAUUCUUUCCUUUUUGAGUAUUCUCAUUUUACCUUGUUUUAUGGAACCUUCCGCUGUCUGUUAGAUUACUCACAAAAGAUUUGCUGAUAAAGAUGGAUCCAUGUGUUUAAUUCCACUCAUUACUUUCUCUAGUUGAUUUUACACACAGAAAUUUUCUAUGAUGAAUUAUUAUAACAUCAUUUAUAGUUGGAUUGCUGUAA